rnacentral:tRNA from 2 species
CCCUAGUUUGCUCAGUCAGUAGAGCGCUCCACUAGAAAUAAAGAUGCCCCUGGUUCGAUACCAGGACCUGGAG